rnacentral:rRNA from 1 species
GGUUAAGUGACUAAGCGUACAGGGCGGAUGCCUUGGCAAUCAGAGGCGAUGAAGGACGUGCUAAUCUGCGAAAAGCUUGGAUGAGUCGAUAAGAGGCGUUUAAUCCAAGAUGUCCGAAUGGGGAAACCCAGUAGAUGAAGAAUCUACUAUCAAUAAAUGAAUACAUAGUUUAUUGAGGCGAACCGGGAGAACUGAAACAUCUAAGUACCCCGAGGAAAAGAAAUCAACCGAGAUUCUGUGAGUAGCGGCGAGCGAAAGCGGAAGAGCCAGUAAGUUUUAGCUAGCGUAUUAGAGGAAUUGGCUGGGAAGCCAAAUCAAAGAGGGUGAUAAUCCCGUACUCGAAAGUAUGGUAGUGGAACUAAGCUUACGAUAAGUAAGGCGGGACACGAGAAAUCCUGUUUGAAGAUGGGGGGACCAUCCUCCAAGGCUAAAUACUCCUGAUUGACCGAUAGUGAACCAGUACUGUGAAGGAAAGGCGAAAAGAACCCCGGUGAGGGAGUGAAAUAGAACCUGAAACCCUGUACGUACAAGCAGUAGGAGCGAGGGCAACCUUGUGACUGCGUACCUUUUGUAUAAUGGGUCAGCGACUUAUAUUUUGUAGCGAGGUUAACUGAAUAAGGGAGCCGAAGGGAAACCGAGUCUUAACUGGGCGUUGAGUUGCAAGGUAUAGACCCGAAACCCGGUGAUCUAGCCAUGGGCAGGUUGAAGGUUGGGUAACACUAACUGGAGGACCGAACCGACUAAUGUUGAAAAAUUAGCGGAUGACUUGUGGCUGGGGGUGAAAGGCCAAUCAAACCGGGAGAUAGCUGGUUCUCCCCGAAAUCUAUUUAGGUAGAGCCUUGAGCGGACACCUUCGGGGGUAGAGCACUGUUUCGGCUAGGGGUCCAUCCCGGAUUACCAACCCGAUGCAAACUGCGAAUACCGAAGAGUGAUACUCAGGAGACACACGGCGGGUGCUAACGUUCGUCGUGGAGAGGGAAACAACCCAGACCGCCAGCUAAGGUCCCGAAGUCUAUAUUAAGUGGGAAACGAAGUGGGAAGGCUUAGACAGCUAGGAUGUUGGCUUAGAAGCAGCCAUCAUUUAAAGAAAGCGUAAUAGCUCACUAGUCGAGUCGGCCUGCGCGGAAGAUGUAACGGGGCUCAAAUAUAGCACCGAAGCUGCGGCAUCAGAAUUUAUUCUGUUGGGUAGGGGAGCGUUGUGUAAGCGGAUGAAGGUGGCUCGAGAGGGUUGCUGGACGUAUCACAAGUGCGAAUGCUGACAUAAGUAACGAUAAAACGAGUGAAAAACUCGUUCGCCGGAAGACCAAGGGUUCCUGUCCAACGUUAAUCGGGGCAGGGUGAGUCGGCCCCUAAGGCGAGGCUGAAAAGCGUAGUCGAUGGGAAACGGGUUAAUAUUCCCGUACUUGGAUAAACUGCGAUGUGGGGACGGAGAAGGUUAGGUUAGCAGACUGUUGGAUGUCUGUUUAAGGUGGUAGGUGGAAGACUUAGGCAAAUCCGGGUCUUUAUAAAACACUGAGAGCUGAUGACGAGGUCUUAAGGGACUGAAGUAACUGAUACCCUGCUUCCAGGAAAAGCCACUAAGCUUCAGGUUUAUCUAAACCGUACUGAAAACCGACACAGGUGGUCAGGUAGAGAAUACUCAGGCGCUUGAGAGAACUCGGGUGAAGGAACUAGGCAAAAUAGCACCGUAACUUCGGGAGAAGGUGCGCUUACAGUAAUUGUAGUCCCUUGCGGAUGAAGGUGAAGUAAGUCGAAGAUACCAGCUGGCUGCAACUGUUUAUUAAAAACACAGCACUCUGCAAACACGAAAGUGGACGUAUAGGGUGUGAUGCCUGCCCGGUGCUGGAAGGUUAAUUGAUGGUGUUAUCGAAAGAGAAGCUCCUGAUCGAAGCCCCAGUAAACGGCGGCCGUAACUAUAACGGUCCUAAGGUAGCGAAAUUCCUUGUCGGGUAAGUUCCGACCUGCACGAAUGGCAUAAUGAUGGCCAGGCUGUCUCCACCCGAGACUCAGUGAAAUUGAAAUCGCCGUGAAGAUGCGGUGUACCCGCGGCUAGACGGAAAGACCCCGUGAACCUUUACUAUAGCUUGACACUGAACAUUGAAUUUUGAUGUGUAGGAUAGGUGGGAGCCUUUGAAGCAGUGACGCCAGUCAUUGUGGAGGCGACCUUGAAAUACCACCCUUUAACGUUUGAUGUUCUAACGAAGUGCCUGAAACGGGUACUCGGACAGUGUCUGGUGGGUAGUUUGACUGGGGCGGUCUCCUCCCAAAGCGUAACGGAGGAGCACGAAGGUUUGCUAAUGACGGUCGGACAUCGUCAGGUUAGUGCAAUGGUAUAAGCAAGCUUAACUGCGAGACAGACAAGUCGAGCAGGUGCGAAAGCAGGUCAUAGUGAUCCGGUGGUUCUGAAUGGAAGGGCCAUCGCUCAACGGAUAAAAGGUACUCCGGGGAUAACAGGCUGAUACCGCCCAAGAGUUCAUAUCGACGGCGGUGUUUGGCACCUCGAUGUCGGCUCAUCACAUCCUGGGGCUGAAGUAGGUCCCAAGGGUAUGGCUGUUCGCCAUUUAAAGUGGUACGCGAGCUGGGUUUAGAACGUCGUGAGACAGUUCGGUCCCUAUUCUGCCGUGGGCGUUGGAUGAUUGAUUGGGGCUGCUCCUAGUACGAGAGGACCGGAGUGGACGCAUCACUGGUGUUCCAGUUGUCUCGCCAGAGGCAUUGCUGGGUAGCUAAAUGCGGAAGAGAUAAGUGCUGAAAGCAUCUAAGCACGAAACUUGCCAAGAGAUGAGUCAUCCCUGACUUUAAGUCAGUAAGGGUUGUUGUAGACUACGACGUAGAUAGGUUGGGUGUGUAAGUGUAGUGAUACAUUGAGCUAACCAAUACUAAUUGCCCGAGAGGCUUAACCAU